rnacentral:lncRNA from 1 species
AUUGCUAAGCAGAAAGGUAUGGCCACUGUUCAUGACAAGAACCGACAAACUAUAUGGUUCAGGGCAUAUUGAACCAAACUGAUUGGUUACUGAGAUGGUUUGACCAAUCAAUCUGGUUUCUGAACCAUUUUUAUUUUUUUUACAAAAACCCCUCCCAUCUCCCAAUCCUCUCCCGAUCUCUCGAUUCUCCUCUACCCUCUCCCC